rnacentral:rRNA from 1 species
CCGCUCCUUGAUAAUAAAUACAUAAGGAGUCCGGCCUGCCCAGUGAUAUAUUUCAACGGCCGCGGUACUCUGACCGUGCAAAGGUAGCAUAAUCAUUUGCCCUAUAAUUGAGGGCUCGUAUGAACGGUCUAACAAGAAUGAAGCUGUCUCUUUUAAAAUUACCAAAACUUGGUUUUUAGGUGAAGAAACCUAAAUAAUAUUGAUAGACAAGAAGACCCUAUCGAGCUUUAAAAUAAUUAAUUAAAUAAAUAGUAUAUACUAAAUCUAAUUAAAAAUUUUGGUUGGGGCGACUAAGGAACACAAAAAGCUUCCUCAUAAAACACUUUAAUACUUAUCAGCAAUGAUCCGAAAUAUUCGAUUAAUAAAAUUAGUUACCGUAGGGAUAACAGCAUAAUCUUUUUUAAAAGUUCCUAUCGAAAAAAAGGUUUGUGACCUCGAUGUUGGACUAGGAUAUCCCGACAGAUGCAGAAGUCUUCAAUGGUUGGUCUGUUCGACCAAUAAAAUCCU